rnacentral:rRNA from 1 species
AUUGAACGCUGGCGGCAUGCCUUACACAUGCAAGUCGAACGGCAGCACGGGUGCUUGCACCUGGUGGCGAGUGGCGAACGGGUGAGUAAUACAUCGGAACGUACCUUAUCGUGGGGGAUAACGCAGCGAAAGUUGCGCUAAUACCGCAUAAGCCCUGAGGGGGAAAGCGGGGGACCGUAAGGCCUCGCGCGAUUAGAGCGGCCGAUGUCUGAUUAGCUUGUUGGUGAGGUAAAAGCUCACAAAGGCGAUGAUCGGUAGCUGGUCUGAGAGGACGAUCAGCCACAAGGGAACUGGGACACGGCCCAGACUCCUACGGGAGGCAGCAGUGGGGAAUUUUGGACAAUGGGGGCAACCCUGAUCCAGCAAUGCCGCGUGAGUGAAGAAGGCCUUCGGGUUGUAAAGCUCUUUUGUCAGGGAAGAAACAGCAGCUCUAACACAGUCUGCGAAUGACGGUACCUGAAGAAUAAGCACCGGCUAACUACGUGCCAGCAGCCGCCGUAA